rnacentral:lncRNA from 1 species
GGUUAGAAGACCCAACUGCCAAAGGAGGCGGAGGUCACCGUUUGUCAGCUCGCUAGCGCGAAACAUGCGCCCUCGAGGAGACCGCAGAGAAAACCCCGAGCGGCGGCCGUUCGCCCUUCCGAGCGGCAUCUGCGAUUGAAAUGACAGCACGAGAGACGGGACUUCGACGUGCCUGAGCGAUGGGCCGUCUUAGGGAGGAGCGGGAGGUGGGCCUGAAGGGGUUAGAAGGCAGUGCACCCAAGCCAAUGCACACGACGUUCCCUCAGAGGGCCGGCAUUUACAGACAGAGACCACGGAGGAGGGAGAGGCGACCGAUUUCCGUCACUGACACUUGAUGAUGAUGAUGAUCGGGGGAGGGGGCGCUGGGAGAGACCGGAUCUCUCGCUCUGCCGCCUGUCAUGUCCUCCCUGUCAGAACAAAGAUGACGACGCGUGCUGCUGCUUCGUGUUUAGUCACUUCCUCGCCUUGCCAGAGCAGUUGCUUUUGAGGAGCCUCGCGGCAGCGUGUGCGUGAGAGGAAGGGGGUGAGGGACAAAGUGAAGAGCUGCCAUUUAUAUUAGAGAUCAUAUGUAUAAAAGCGUGGUGGUGCUCAGCCUUUAAAUCCGUUUUAUUCUCCAUCGACGUCGCUAGCCCAGUCCUAAACUGUUUGGUCCUGGGGGUGCAUUAUAGCUGAGUGGCUUCCAUGAUCUCUGUGGGUCAGCUGCACACACGGAGUUCAAAUGAAAGUUGAGGUAACAGGG